rnacentral:rRNA from 1 species
AGUGAACGCUGGCGGCAGGCCUAACACAUGCGAGUCGAACGGCAGCACAGGAGAGCUUGCUCUCUGGGUGGCGAGUGGCGGACGGGUGAGGAAUACAUCGGAAUCUACCCUUUCGUGGGGGAUAACGUAGGGAAACUUACGCUAAUACCGCAUACGAUCUGAGGAUGAAAGCAGGGGACCGCAAGGCCUUGCGCGAUUGGAUGAGCCGAUGUCCGAUUAGCUAGUUGGCGGGGUAAAGGCCCACCAAGGCGACGAUCGGUAGCUGGUCUGAGAGGAUGAUCAGCCACACUGGAACUGAGACACGGUCCAGACUCCUACGGGAGGCAGCAGUGGGGAAUAUUGGACAAUGGGGGCAACCCUGAUCCAGCCAUGCCGCGUGUGUGAAGAAGGCCUUCGGGUUGUAAAGCACUUUUGUUGGGAAAGAAAUCCUGUCGGCUAAUACCCGGCGGGGAUGACGGUACCCAAAGAAUAAGCACCGGCUAACUUCGUGCCAGCAGCCGCCGCAGUAA